rnacentral:rRNA from 1 species
CGCUGGCGGCAGGCCUAACACAUGCAAGUCGAGCGGAAACGAGUUAUCUGAACCUUCGGGGAACGAUAACGGCGUCGAGCGGCGGACGGGUGAGUAAUGCCUAGGAAAUUGCCCUGAUGUGGGGGAUAACCAUUGGAAACGAUGGCUAAUACCGCAUGAUGCCUACGGGCCAAAGAGGGGGACCUUCGGGCCUCUCGCGUCAGGAUAUGCCUAGGUGGGAUUAGCUAGUUGGUGAGGUAAGGGCUCACCAAGGCGACGAUCCCUAGCUGGUCUGAGAGGAUGAUCAGCCACACUGGAACUGAGACACGGUCCAGACUCCUACGGGAGGCAGCAGUGGGGAAUAUUGCACAAUGGGCGCAAGCCUGAUGCAGCCAUGCCGCGUGUGUGAAGAAGGCCUUCGGGUUGUAAAGUACUUUCAGUCGUGAGGAAGGUAGUGUAGUUAAUAGCUGCAUUAUUUGACGUUAGCGACAGAAGAAGCACCGGCUAACUCCGUGCCAGCAGCCGCGGUAAUACGGAGGGUGCGAGCGUUAAUCGGAAUUACUGGGCGUAAAGCGCAUGCAGGUGGUUUGUUAAGUCAGAUGUGAAAGCCCGGGGCUCAACCUCGGAAUAGCAUUUGAAACUGGCAGACUAGAGUACUGUAGAGGGGGGUAGAAUUUCAGGUGUAGCGGUGAAAUGCGUAGAGAUCUGAAGGAAUACCGGUGGCGAAGGCGGCCCCCUGGACAGAUACUGACACUCAGAUGCGAAAGCGUGGGGAGCAAACAGGAUUAGAUACCCUGGUAGUCCACGCCGUAAACGAUGUCUACUUGGAGGUUGUGGCCUUGAGCCGUGGCUUUCGGAGCUAACGCGUUAAGUAGACCGCCUGGGGAGUACGGUCGCAAGAUUAAAACUCAAAUGAAUUGACGGGGGCCCGCACAAGCGGUGGAGCAUGUGGUUUAAUUCGAUGCAACGCGAAGAACCUUACCUACUCUUGACAUCCAGAGAACUUUCCAGAGAUGGAUUGGUGCCUUCGGGAACUCUGAGACAGGUGCUGCAUGGCUGUCGUC